rnacentral:rRNA from 1 species
GAUGAACGCUGGCGGCGUGCUUAACACAUGCAAGUCGAGCGAAGCGCUUUGGCGGAUUUCUUCGGAUUGAAGCCUUGGUGACUGAGCGGCGGACGGGUGAGUAACGCGUGGGUAACCUGCCUCAUACAGGGGGAUAACAGUUGGAAACGACUGCUAAUACCGCAUAAGCGCACAGUACCGCAUGGUACGGUGUGAAAAACUCCGGUGGUAUGAGAUGGACCCGCGUCUGAUUAGGUAGUUGGUGGGGUAACGGCCUACCAAGCCGACGAUCAGUAGCCGACCUGAGAGGGUGACCGGCCACAUUGGGACUGAGACACGGCCCAAACUCCUACGGGAGGCAGCAGUGGGGAAUAUUGCACAAUGGGGGAAACCCUGAUGCAGCGACGCCGCGUGAGCGAUGAAGUAUUUCGGUAUGUAAAGCUCUAUCAGCAGGGAAGAAAAUGACGGUACCUGACUAAGAAGCACCGGCUAAAUACGUGCCAGCAGCCGCGGUAAUACGUAUGGUGCAAGCGUUAUCCGGAUUUACUGGGUGUAAAGGGAGCGUAGACGGUUGUGUAAGUCUGAUGUGAAAGCCCGGGGCUCAACCCCGGGACUGCAUUGGAAACUAUGUAACUAGAGUGUCGGAGAGGUAAGCGGAAUUCCUAGUGUAGCGGUGAAAUGCGUAGAUAUUAGGAGGAACACCAGUGGCGAAGGCGGCUUACUGGACGAUCACUGACGUUGAGGCUCGAAAGCGUGNGGAGCAAACAGG